CGCGUAGGCGGUUUGAUAAGCUGGAUGUGAAAGCCCCGGGCUCAACCUGGGAAUUGCAUCCAGAACUGUCAGGCUAGAGUACAGUAGAGGUGAGUGGAAUUUCCUGUGUAGCGGUGAAAUGCGUAAAUAUAGGAAGGAACAUCAGUGGCGAAGGCGGCUCACUGGACUGAUACUGACGCUGAGGUGCGAAAGCGUGGGGAGCAAACA
rnacentral:rRNA from 1 species